rnacentral:lncRNA from 1 species
ACAAUACACAAUAAAUAUAAUCUAGUGUAAUAUAAUAUGAUAUAAUAUAGAUCAUAUAGUAAAAUAUAAUAAAAUAAUAAAUUAGCCUUCUGAAAACAUGGAAUCAAAUUCAUCCUUCCUUCCUGCCACAAAAAUCCCAACAAAUACAACAGCCCAGUGCAUACAGAGGCUGGGGCCAGGCUGUCUGGGCAGCUGGGCAAGGCUGUGAGUGCUGUUUCCUCCUCCUGAGGGUGGAUCCAGCUCCUUGCUGCUCUCCAUGGAGUGUGGAGCUCCUGAGCACUCAGUCCUUGCCAUGGCAGCUCCUCUCUUCCAGCAAGGCAGGGAGUGGCAGGACAGAUCACACCUGGUGCUGGGAAUGGCCAGGUAGGUGCCUCCUGGCCAGUCUGACCUGUCCCUUUGGCAAGCUCUGAGGGAGGAUCUUUGGGGGGAAAUGGUUGAUCUUGUGAAAUAUGCCACGGGCUCUCUUGUUCCUGGGUCACACAACCCAUCAUUCAGCUGAAGGAAGCAGCUGCCUCCCUCACAGCAAAGAUAAUGGACAGCCAGUGCCCAGAGGGGUGUUUGAAGUCCUAAUUAAGGCCCAGAUCUGCAGGUGCAGCUUCCUGGAAGAGUGCUGGGAUUAGUGCAGAAACAAGGAUGCUCCCUUCUUUUAUCACCCCAAACCAGGGCAGCUCUACACAGCAGAGAUGGGAAGGGAGCAGGAGCUGCAGGGAAGGGAGCAGGAGCUGCAGGGAAGGGAUGUGGAUGGGACAUGCCAUGCUAUGACUCAGCUCCCACAGGCACUGCUUUUGAGAGGAAAACAGGUGGAUGCAAGGGGAUCCCAGCCUGGUGAGAAGUCAGCAGUCACAGACAGCCCUGCUCCAAAGUCCAGCACUGCCUCCUCCUCUGCCCUGGGCACCAAGGAUCAGCCUGGCUCAUUUUCUGUCUGUGUUUGGGGACUGGGGAAGGGCCUGGGGACUGCUGAGCCUUUGGCUGGGGCUGGCCAUGGACGUCUGUCAAUGUCACAUGAGCCUUCUGGAGACAGAUGGCAUUUUACUGCCUGGCUGGAAAUCUCCCCUUUCCUUUCUUUUCUUUCCUCCCCUCCCUUUUUUCUUUUUUUUUUUUUUCUUUUUUCUUUUUUUCUUUUUUUUCUUUUUGUUUUGGGAUGCCAUUUUUAUGCUUAAAAGGAGCUGAGAGGAAGCCUGAGAGUGAGGAGAAAGGCUGCUUGCCUGUUGAGCUGCUCUCUGAUGCUGGCAGAGGUCAUCUCAGCAUGGUUUGGGUUUCUGCUGCCUGGCCAUUGCCACAGCCUUUGCAACGUUUCUUCUGCCCUGGGAAUCACUUCUGACUCCUGGCAAGGAAAAAUCCCAAAGGUAUUUGGGAUUCCCUGGAGUUUUUGUAAAGUUUCCUGCUCAGUAAGAAAAUUUUGGGGUGAAGUCAGAGUUUCUUCACACUCUGCUGUCGUGGUGUGGCUGGCACCUGCACAGGGCACUGCCCAGCUCUGGGGCAGGGGGCUCAGGCUGCACCCCUGGCAUGGGGCUGUUCCUGCAGCCUGGGCAAGAGGUUAAUGGGCAGCAGCUGGCCUCAGGUUCCUCUUGCUCCUCUUCUCCUCCCUCCUGUCCCCCUGAUUCGAGUGGGAGAGGGAUCUCUGAGCAGCUGGACCUGGUGCUCUCACCCCACAGGGCCCAUGUCGCA